UUAAUAUUAUUUAUUUAUUUUAUUUUACAUUCAAAUAUCUCAAGCUUCUUAGUUUAAUAAGCUUGAUUGCUAGUAGAUAAAGAAUAGUUCACCUAUAAUUGAUAUUCCCAAUUAAUUUCUCACCUCUGAUUGAAUGGCUUUGUUUGUUUGCCUUUUUUGACCAUAACAAGACAUUUUUGCAGGAUAUAUAUGGUGAAUUUAUAUGCAUAGAUACAGUCAUAGUGCUUGACACAUGCACACAGCAGUAGAUGGACUAAAAAGGAAAUAAUUACAAUCAUGAUGUUGAUGGCUGAUGUCAGUAUAUAUAUUUUAGAGGAAUGUUUUGUUUUUCACCCAAAAUGAACUAUAUUGCUUCAGAAGAGAUUUAUUACCCUACCUGACUCUUAUAUAUUGUUCUGUUUUUUGUUUGUUUUUGUUAUUUUCAGGUUCAAUAGUGCGUGUUCUUCUAAUGGCCGCCUUCCCACUGGAGGUUUUGAUCCACAGCAAUUUAAAAGGAGGACAGAGCAAAACGGACGUCGGUGCAGAGCGAAGAACUGCCCUUCAUAAGGACACUUUGACAGCCAUAUAUAUGGCGGUAAGGAAGAGGUUUCCCAAUGUGUCCAGAAGGGCUUUGAGGAUUGGACUGAAUUCGAAGCUGGGGGAACUGAGACUGAUGGAAAAGAAAAGAAAUUACAUUUGAAGUAUGUUGACUUAUGUUCAUACAAUCACACACACAUAUAUACACAGACACACACA